UGGGGAAUAUUGGGCAAUGGGCGCAAGCCUGACCCAGCAACGCCGCGUGAAGGAAGAAGGCUUUCGGGUUGUAAACUUCUUUUAUCAGGGACGAAGAAAGUGACGGUACCUGAUGAAUAAGCCACGGCUAACUACGUGCCAGCAGCCGCGGUAAUACGUAGGUGGCAAGCGUUAUCCGGAUUUACUGGGUGUAAAGGGCGUGUAGGCGGGCUUGCAAGUCAGAUGUGAAAUUCCAGGGCUCAACCCUGGAACUGCAUUUGAAACUGUAGGUCUUGAGUGCUGGAGAGGCAAUCGGAAUUCCGU
rnacentral:rRNA from 1 species